CAGCGGCAGCUGCCGCGCUCUGCGCCUCCUCUGGGCGCACUGCCUGGGAGCACGAGACUGGUUUGUCUGAUGCUGCUGCCGGAGCUGAGGUCUUGCCUGGAGAUCCGAACGAGACACCACGUCAACCGGCGCGGGGAGUCCCGUGAAGACAUGAGGGCGCCAGGAGCGCAGGCUGGUCUUCUAGAGCCCGGGCUGGGGGUCCGGGGUCCGGGGUGGGGGAGGGGAGGCGCGGGGCCCCGGGAGGGAGGGGUCGGGAGGCGUCGGCUGGGCCUGGCGGUGGGGGAGGAGAGGAGAGCAGCGAGGAGGCCCUGGAGUUCCCGAGGCGGGGGGCCGGGGUGCGAGUGGGCGACGCGAGGCGCCCCUCCCUGGGCUGCAGGGAGAGCGCUGAGAGCGCGGAGACGCCGCGGGGCUAGCGCCUUCUCCUCUCCGGGUGGAUCAAAAAUCGAGAGGAAUGUGCGGCGCUCUGCGCGGGCCAGCCGAAAGGGGCAAUCCGAACUUGACCGCGGCGCCCGCGCCGGGCUUUGCCCCCGCGCGCCGCACUGGGAGGGUGGCGCUCUGCCGGUGCAGGGCAGCGCCGGGCUUUCCUCGCGCCUGUCGAAGGCCGGCCUUCCCGCUCGGGUGUCUCGCCCUCUCGCUUCUCCGCAGGGCAGGAGGCAGUGGCGAGAAAAGGAGCUGCCGGCCGGAGUUCUAGCACCGAGAAGGAGAGAUGGGAAACUUCAGCAAGCGCCCACUUGGAUGCUGAGUUUCCAG
rnacentral:lncRNA from 1 species